rnacentral:rRNA from 1 species
UACGUAGGGAGCAAGCGUUGUUCGGAUUUACUGGGCGUAAAGGGCGCGUAGGCGGCAAUUCAAGUCAGCUGUGAAAUCUCCGGGCUUAACUCGGAACGGUCGGCUGAUACUGCUUUGCUAGAGUGCGGAAGGGGCAAUCGGAAUUCUCGGUGUAGCGGUGAAAUGCGUAGAUAUCGAGAGGAACACCUGCGGCGAAGGCGGGUUGCUGGGCUGACACUGACGCUGAAGCGCGAAAGCCAGGGGAGCGAACGGG